GCGGGUGUGUUGUAGCGGCCGCAAACGACCCUUCCAAGGUUGGAGUGCGGGUUCGACUCCCGCCACCCGCU
rnacentral:tRNA from 1 species